CUAGGGUUUUUGUAUAAAAUGUCAUGUUAGAAUGGACUUUCUUGUGAAAAGCCUGUAUUUAUUUGUUGGGGAAGAUGCAUUCCUUCAAUAGGAGAAAUUAUACAAUACUACAGUAGUACGAUGUGACAUUGGUAUAGGUGGUGGUACGGACAAAUGAAAUGAUGACAUAUGGACAAUAACUGCAAUGGAAGGAGAAACUAACGUUAAUUGGUGUUAAC
rnacentral:lncRNA from 1 species